rnacentral:rRNA from 1 species
CCCUACGGGGCGCAGCAGUGGGGGAUAUUGCACAAUGGGGGGAACCCUGAUGCAGCGACGCCGCGUGAAGGAAGAAGUAUCUCGGUAUGUAAACUUCUAUCAGCAGGGAAGAAAAUGACGGUACCUGACUAAGAAGCCCCGGCUAACUACGUGCCAGCAGCCGCGGUAAUACGUAUGGGGCAAGCGUUAUCCGGAUUUACUGGGUGUAAAGGGAGCGUAGGCGGCAGGGCAAGCCUGAUGUGAAAGCCCGGGGCUCAACCCCGGGACUGCAUUGGGAACUGCCCCGCUCGAGUGCCGGAGGGGCG